AUGUAGCAAUGAACUGCUUGUAAUAGUUUCAGAGGAACUAAUAAUUUUGAGAAAUAUGUUAAUAGCAAAUGUGCUAAUAUAAAGGGCUAGAAGAUUAGCGAUGCAUUCUUUUGCACUGAAAUAAGAAUAUAAUAAAUGUCUCCCAGGUGACUCAGGCUACAGCAAUUUUUAUUGGAGAUUAAAGCUUGAUGGACCUUUGCUCGGGUGAUUAACCCUUCAGAAAUUAAAACCUAGUGCUAAAGUAUUCAGUCCAAUUUAAAUGCAAA